AGUAUUUAAAAUCUGUUUUUCAGCAACUAAAUAACAGUAGGUAUAUUAUUUAAUGUUUCAAGAAUAUCCGCCAAUGUCAAAGUGUUGUGGUGGAUGUCCGCGCCGACGCCGUGACCGACUAUGAUGUACUACGCACGCGCAGAGAAGAUACGCUAAAAGCCGCGUCUGCCAUCAGUGGAGUGUUGUGUGUUUAGUGGAUUGUGGUUCCAGAAAGGGAUUUGGAUUACCUUUUUAUCAGGACCUCAAGCGUCACCAACAUGUGAUCCUAGCCAUCACCAAUACACCACGCCCCACAAUGGGCCUAAGACUGUUGUUAAUGAC